AUGCCGCCGGUUCUUGACAUGCUCGUGCGGCUCCUCGUCGCGUCCGUGCUGCUCGGCGCAGCCAGUGGCGCGUUUACCCCCGCGGACAACUACCUCGUCCUCUGCGGCACGUCGGCGAGCGCCACCGUCGCCGCCGGACGGACGUUCGUCGGGGACGCGCGUCUGCCGGCCAAGUCGCUGGCCGCGCCGCAGAGCGUCGAGGCCAACACAUCGCGGACCGCGGUCGUCCCGUCCGGCGAGUCGGAGCUGUAUCGGUCCGCACGCGUGUUCACCGCGCCAGCUUCCUACACGUUCGCCGUCAAGCAGCCCGGCCGGCACUUCGUGCGCCUUCACUUCUUCCCCUUCCCCUACAGGUCUUACGACAUGGUGGCGGACGCCGCGUUCAACGUGUCCGUGCAGGGCGCGGUGCUCGUCAACGGGUACACGCCCAAGAACGGCACAGCGGAGCUCAGGGAGUUCUCCGUGAACGUCACCGGGGGCACGCUGGUGAUCGCGUUCGCGCCGACGGGGAAGCUCGCGUUCGUGAACGCCAUCGAGGUCGUGUCGGUCCCCGACGAGCUCAUCGCCGACAUGGCCAGGAUGGUGGACGGCGCCGUCCAGUACACCGGGCUGUCGACGCAGGCGCUGGAGACGAUCCACAGGAUCAACAUGGGCGUUCCCAAGAUCACGCCCGGCAACGACACGCUGGGGAGGACGUGGUUGCCGGACCAGAGCUUCCAGGUCAACACCGACCUAGCGCAGCACAAAGACGCCAAGCCCCUGACGAUCAAAUACGACGAGAAAUCGGCACUCUCGUCCGCGUACACGGCGCCGGCGGAGGUCUACGCGACGGCGACGAGGCUGAGCACGGCGGGCGAGACCAGCACCAUCAACGUGCAGUUCAACAUCAGCUGGAGGUUCGACGCCCCGGCCGGGUCGGAUUACCUGCUCCGGUUCCACUGGUGCGACAUCGUCAGCAAGGCAGCCAUGGGAAUGGCCUUCAACGUCUACGUCGGCGGGGCGGUGGUGCUCGACAACUACGAGAUUUCGCGUGACACGUUCAACCGGCUAUCCAUACCGGUGUACAAGGACUUCCUCCUGGGCGCCAAGGACGCCAAGGGCGCCAUCACCGUGAGCAUCGGGUCGUCCACCGAGGACAACGCGUUGCCUGACGGCUUCCUCAACGGCCUCGAGAUCAUGAGUAUAGUCGGGAGCGCCGGCGCCGGCGCUGCCGCCACGUCCCCGCGCAGUUCAAAGGUCAAAAUCGGGAUCAUCGCCGGCUCGGCCGUCUGCGGGGCCACGCUGGUGAUGGUGCUCGGGUUCAUCGCCUUCAAGAUGCUGCGCGGGAGGGAGCCGGAGAAGAAGAAGCCGGCCGACGCCUGGUCGCCGUUCUCGGCGAGCGCGCUGGGCUCUCGCUCGCGCUCCCGGAGCUUCUCCAAGAGCAACGGGAACACCGUCCUGCUCGGGCAGAACGGCGCCGGCGCCGGGUACAGGAUCCCGUUCGCGGCGCUCCAGGAGGCGACCGGCGGGUUCGACGAGGGGAUGGUCAUCGGCGAGGGCGGGUUCGGGAAGGUGUACAAGGGCACGAUGCGCGACGAGACGGUGGUGGCCGUGAAGCGCGGCAACCGGCGGACGCAGCAGGGGCUGCACGAGUUCCACACGGAGAUCGAGAUGCUGUCCCGGCUGCGCCACCGGCACCUGGUCUCGCUCAUCGGCUACUGCGACGAGCGCGGCGAGAUGAUCCUCGUGUACGAGUACAUGGCCAUGGGCACGCUGCGGAGCCACCUCUACGGCGCCGGCCUCCCGCCCCUGUCGUGGGAGCAGAGGCUGGAGGCCUGCAUCGGCGCCGCGCGGGGGCUGCACUACCUCCACACCGGCUCCGCCAAGGCCAUCAUCCACCGGGACGUCAAGUCGGCCAACAUCCUCCUCGACGAGAGCUUCAUGGCCAAGGUGGCCGACUUCGGGCUGUCCAAGAACGGGCCGGAGCUGGACAAGACGCACGUGAGCACCAAGGUGAAGGGCAGCUUCGGGUACCUGGACCCGGAGUACUUCCGGCGGCAGAUGCUGACGGAGAAGUCGGACGUUUACUCCUUCGGCGUGGUCCUGCUGGAGGCGCUCUGCGCCCGCACCGUCAUCGACCCGACGCUGCCGCGGGAGAUGGUGAGCCUGGCGGAGUGGGCGACGCCGUGUCUCAGAAACGGCCAGCUCGACCAGAUCGUCGACCAGAGGAUCGCCGGGACGAUACGGCCGGGGUCGCUCAAGAAGCUCGCGGACACGGCCGAGAAGUGCCUCGCCGAGUACGGGGUGGAGCGGCCCACCAUGGGGGACGUGCUCUGGUGCCUCGAGUUCGCGCUGCAGCUGCAGGUGGGGUCGUCAGACAGCUCGGACGUCGACACCAUGUUGCCGCCGGCGCCGCCCGUGCCCGUGAAAACGCCUGAGGUUCAGCGUCGCCUGUCCGCCGCUACCGUGGCGACUGACGCUGCUGCCAUGACCACCAACUUGGGUGACCUAGACGGAAUGUCCCUGAGCGGAGUAUUCUCGAACAUGAUCAAGAGCGACGAGGUCAGGUGA
rnacentral:rRNA from 1 species